AUAAAUGGAGGCUUUUGCAAGUAAAUAAAUCAUCAAAGCACAAUUUAUUCUUCAUCUUCUACUUAAGAAAUCUUUGUAUCUGUUUCAAUAAUAUCAUCCAUUCAAAUCAUCAAUAGAAGCAUUCAACAUAAUCAAGAUCAAACAGUGUCUCAACCAUAUGGAUUUUCUAAGCUCAAACACAUCCAGUUAAUCAAACAUACAACAAAUGAGCCAUGGCAACAUGACAUAAACUCUCACUUCCUUAGCAUGUCUUAUAGGCUUGUCCAAGCAAACAUUCUUGACAUUGACAUCCUACAACAUCUUCUUUAAGCUGGUGUAUUACUCUGGAAUUAUUGUUGCUACAUCAAUCUCAUCUCCAGCUACCACAACCCCGAUCUCCAUGUAAACAUGGCUGCAAGUUAUAAACAACAACAUAUCGUAAGUAACAAAAAAUCAUUAAUAAAUAAAAAUAUGCUACAUGAAAGUUUAAAGAAAAUUAUACCAUCAAUAAUAAUCAUUUCAAGAUGAGAACAUCAAGCAAGAUUACGACAUGGACUCAGCUGGUUUGAGUUUAAGUUUUAGAGGCCAAAACACAUCAAACUUUGUGUGUAGUCGACAAAUUUGGAAUUGAUAUGUACAUCUCUUUCUAUGUGUAAAAGCAAAUAAUUGUCUUAAUAAAUGAGAAUGAAAAUACUAUUGGCGACGAAAGCUUCCUAUCAUUACAUGCUCUGAUGAGCUCAAAAUUUUUAACAAUACGUGCCACAAAGGAAGAGAAUUGAUAUUACCAGCCUUUUCAAAGCCAUGGCACCAUGCUGCCUAAGUAUUGAAAAUUACAAGCUGGCACAAUCAUUGAAACUCCCAAACCCAAUUUAAAGUUCAAGGAUUAGAAGAAAAAAAUCAGCAUCGCUAAUUCUAAUUCUAUGAGGCCUAAGAUCCAGCAGCUAUGUUACUAUCCAGAUGAACAAAAACAUUUGAAAGAGAUGGAGAUGUCUCAUCAUGGAAGAAAAGGAAUUAAUGGAAUUAAAAGAAGAAAAUAAAAAGGAAGAGAUGGAAAUGCAGAUCUAGGUGAGCAAUGGAUAUCGUUUGGCUAGUUUUUCUCUUCUCCAACACCAACUUGUUUAACCAGACAAAAUUAAUAGGACAACAAAUUAAAGCUGUGUUUUAAAAGAUAUAUUCUAAAAGCAAUUUUGAUAUACUUCCAACUCCAAAUAGAUCAAGAUAAGAUGAAAGUAUCACAGUGAUUAUAAUCUUUUUUUUUUUUUUUGAAUGAGAACAUCAGAUUGUAAUAAUACUUUCUGCUUGCAUUUCCAUAAAUUAGUUCCUCAUUUGCAACCUCAUAUGCUACCAACAUGACAACUUAUAAUAAUAAAAUGAUUAAGCAUUAAAUCGGCAUAAUAAAGAUUUGAAGAACCUUGUUAUGGCUAUGAAAUAGCUUUUCCAUCAAUGGAAAACAAAAUAAAUUUAAAUUGGAAAGCUGCGUAAGAUUGAUUUGGCUAAGGAACUGUAGAAUUAAAUGAUUUGUUUCUUGAGUGUUUCUUUUUUCUUUUCUUUCCUUUGAUAUUAAUAUUUUAUUUUACAUAUAAAAUACACGAAAGAAUUACAAGAUGUCUCUGUUAAUGUUUUGUUUGUUGCAUAGAGUGAUUCCCAAAGCUCUCAUGCCUCAUAAGGUACUGUUGUUAUAUCUAUCUAUCUCCUCUACUGCAUGUGUGUGUGUAAUUGUGUAUAUGCUUUCUUUUAUUCCAUUAGUAGAAUAUUAUCAAGUAUCAAAGCAAUUAGUUAACAAAACCCUUACUUAAUUUGCAGAUAUCAGGAGAAAGCCAAUCAUAGAUAAUAUGCUACAUAAAAGGUUUGCAUAUGAGAGAAUUUCAACUGUGUAUGUUUUUCUUUUGGAAAACUUUAACAGUUUUUCAAUAAAUUAUUGCAAUGACUCUUAUAUGGAUGCUUUCAUAGAAAGUACUUUCAUCCAAAACAGCUUCUGUAAAAUCGCCAUCUAGAUUUAAACAUAUAAUUCAGCACAGAUUUUUGCCAAAAAAACACAAACACAUAAUAACUGCUCUUCAAUUCUAAAGACGAAAAACACAGUGAAUAUUUAAAAUAAAAAAAAUAAAAGAAAAAUAAAAAAGAUGAACAACAAUCAGAACAACAACUUACUAUAAUUGACUAACAGAAAAAGAAAUCAGAGACCACACUUGUCGAGAUCAACAUGCAUAAAAAAAAAUCAAAAUUCGAAAACCCAUUUUCAUUUGUAAGUAAUUUAGAAUCAACCCAUUCUUAAAAAAAAAUAAGAAUCAACAAAAUAAUCAACUGCAUCUUAUUUGCAUCUUCGAACUAUCACAAAAUGAGGACUAACCUCUUUCUCGCCCUAAUUCCAGUCGUGGCUGAAGCCAUUCACCGCUGGUACUCACUUCGUGGAAGACUUGGGCCACCACUCGAACUCAUCUCAUUCAUAACAGAAGCUAAACUCUUCUUCAAUCUUGAUAAAGCUUUGGGCAAAAGGAGCUGCUUCUAGAUAGCUUUAGAAAGCAGAAAUUGAUGUUGGAUUUUGCUUAUGUGAAAGAUAAAGGGAAGAUUUUUGCUUUCUUUUGUCCAUCAAGUAUCGCAAAGCACUGGACAAGAGAUUGUAACAGUCAAUACUUCCCAGACAUCAACAAUUUUUUAGCUUAAAUUUUGAAUUAAUAUGAUUUUACAUAUUUACCCUUCUAUGCUG
rnacentral:lncRNA from 1 species